rnacentral:rRNA from 1 species
CCUACGGGAGGCAGCAGUGAGGAAUAUUGGUCAAUGGACGAGAGUCUGAACCAGCCAAGUAGCGUGAAGGAUGACUGCCCUAUGGGUUGUAAACUUCUUUUAUAUGGGAAUAAAACAGGGUAUGCAUACCCUCUUGUAUGUACCAUAUGAAUAAGCAUCGGCUAACUCCGUGCCAGCAGCCGCGGUAAUACGGAGGAUCCGAGCGUUAUCCGGAUUUAUUGGGUUUAAAGGGAGCGUAGGUGGAUUGUUAAGUCAGUUGUGAAAGUUUGCGGCUCAACCGUAAAAUUGCAGUUGAAACUGGUAGUCUUGAGUACAGUAGAGGUAGGCGGAAUGCGUGGUGUAGCGGUGAAAUGCUUAGAUAUCACGAAGAACUCCGAUUGCGAAGGCAGCUCACUGGACUGCAACUGACACUGAUGCUCGAAAGUGUGGGGAUCAAACAGGAUUAAAUACCCCAGUAGUC